UACGGAGGGUGCAAGCGUUAUCCGGAAUUAUUGGGCGUAAAGCGCGCGCAGGCGGUCCUUUAAGUCUGAUGUGAAAGCCCACGGCUCAACCGUGGAGGGUCAUUGGAAACUGGGGGACUUGGGUGCAGGAGAGAAAAGUGGAAUUCCACGUGUAGCGGUGAAAUGCGUAGAGAUGUGGAGGAACACCAGUGGCGAAGGCGACUUUUUGGCCUGUAACUGACGCUGAGGCGCGAAAGCGUGGGGAGCAAACAGG
rnacentral:rRNA from 1 species